rnacentral:rRNA from 1 species
AAAAGAAACUAACAAGGAUUCCCCUAGUAACUGCGAGUGAAGCGGGAAAAGCUCAAAUUUAAAAUCUGGCGGUCCUCGCGGCCGUCCGAGUUGUAAUCUGGAGAAGUGUUUUCCGCGCUGGACCGUGUACAAGUCUCCUGGAACGGAGCGUCAUAGAGGGUGAGAAUCCCGUCUUUGACACGGACUACCAGUGCUUUUGUGAUACGCUCUCAACGAGUCGAGUUGUUUGGGAAUGCAGCUCAAAAUGGGUGGUAAAUUCCAUCUAAAGCUAAAUAUUGGCGAGAGACCGAUAGCGAACAAGUACCGUGAGGGAAAGAUGAAAAGAACUUUGGAAAGAGAGUUAAACAGUACGUGAAAUUGUUAAAAGGGAAACGCUUGAAGUCAGUCGCGUCGUCCGGGGAUCAACCUUGCAUUUAUGCUGGGCGUACUUUCCGGUUGACGGGUCAGCAUCAAUUUUGACCGUUGGAUAAAGUGCGAGGGAAUGUGGCAUCUUCGGAUGUGUUAUAGCCCUUGUUCGCAUACAACGAUUGGGAUUGAGGAACUCAGCACGCCUUUAUGGUCGGGGUUUACCCACGUAACGUGCUUAGGAUGCUGGCAUAAUGGCUUUAAUCGACCCGUCUUGAAACACGGACCAAGGAGUCUAACAUGCCCGCGAGUGUUUGGGUGGAAAACCCGAGCGCGUAAUGAAAGUGAAAGUUGAGAUCCCUGUCGUGGGGAGCAUCGACGCCCGGACCAGACGUUCUCUGACGGUUCCGCGGUAGAGCGUGUAUGUUGGGACCCGAAAGAUGGUGAACUAUGCCUGAAUAGGGUGAAGCCAGAGGAAACUCUGGUGGAGGCUCGUAGCGAUUCUGACGUGCAAAUCGAUCGUCGAA